rnacentral:rRNA from 1 species
UACGGAGGGUGCGAGCGUUGUCCGGAAUCACUGGGCGUAAAGCGCGCGUAGGUGGCCUCAUAAGUCCGCUGUGAAAGUCAAAGGCUCAACCUUUGAAAGCCGGUGGAUACUGUGGGGCUAGAGUACGGAAGAGGCGAGUGGAAUUCCUGGUGUAGCGGUGGAAUGCGCAGAUAUCAGGAGGAACACCAAUAGCGAAGGCAGCUCGCUGGGACGUUACUGACACUGAGGCGCGAAAGCGUGGGGAGCGAACAGG